AAUGGGCUUAGAUGCCCCCAGCACUAUGCAUCUUUUUUUUAUUUUUCUUUUUCUUCCCUUUCUUAAAAGGAUGACGUCCUGUCGAAGACCUACCAACCACAUUCCCUAUCUCCUUAUGGAUCUGGUGAUCCUUCUCAAAAGUCUGCAGCAACUCUAACAAACCAUGAUAGUUAACUGCAGGCUUAGUCAUUCUAUAAUGA
rnacentral:lncRNA from 1 species